rnacentral:tRNA from 1 species
AGAGGAUUGUGUGAGCGGCUUAAACAAACUGUUUGCUAAACAGUCGACCCUUAACGGGGUCCACAGGUUCGAAUCCUGUAUCCUCUGCCA